rnacentral:rRNA from 1 species
AUUGAACGCUGGCGGCAGGCCUAACACAUGCAAGUCGAGCGGAUGAAGGGAGCUGGCUCCUGGAUUCAGCGGCGGACGGGUGUGUAAUGCCUAGGAAUCUGCCUGGUAGUGGGGGAUAACGUCCGGAAACGGGCGCUAAUACCGCAUACGUCCUGAGGGAGAAAGUGGGGGAUCUUCGAACCUCACGCUAUCAGAUGAGCCUAGGUCGGAUUAGCUAGUUGGGGGGGUAAAGGCCUACCAAGGCGACGGUCCGUAACUGGUCUGAGGGGAUGAUGAGUCACACUGGACCUGUGACACGGUCCAGACCCCUACGGGAGGCAGCAGUGGGGAAUAUUGGACAAUGGGCGGAAGCCUGAUCCAGCCCUGCCGCGUGUGUGAAGAAGGUCUUCGGAUUGUAAAUCUCUUUAAGUUGGGAGGAAGGGCAGUAAGUUAAUACCUUGCUGUUUUGACGUUACCAAAAGAAUAAGCACCGGCUAACUUCGUG